UUUUUUUUUUUUUUUUUUUGUGUUUUGGAUAUUUUAAGUGUGUAGGUUAAAAUUUUUGAUAAGUUUUUAGGAUUCCUGUAGUAAAAGUUGUUAAAAAACUAGUAUAAUUCAAACUUGCUAAAAAAUUAGACUUCCAAACAGGCCCAUAAUGUAUUAGAUGGGAUGAGAUUAGAGCUGUUGGAUAGAGAAAUAUUUGCAAAAUGCAGAUCACACUUUUUAUUUAGAAUUUGUAGAGUUGUCAAGGCUAUUAUAGUCCUUUCAUAAUACUAAGGGAAGUAAAUGUGAUUUUUCAAAUAUCAAGGGAGGUAACUGUAACUAUCAGAAAUUCCAAGGGAGGUCUAUGAAAUUUUCCCCUAUAAUUGUCAUGAGUUGGAAUGUGGACGUCUCUGACGUAUAAGUAAAUUUUGGACUUGAAUCAAACAUGACAGCAAGGAGGGCCCCAGGCCCACCACAAUAGUCAAUUCAUUCCAUCCUCAUUCAUGGCCUUACCAUUUAAGACAAGCAAUAAUAGAGUCCUCGUACCAUUGUCUGUUACAUGGCAAGUGGCUUCACCCCAGUUUGAAGUACCCACCCUGGCCCCUGCCUCCUGCCAACUGCCUGCUUUAACUCCAUUUAGUCAUUUUUACCAAUACCAGUACUGCUAACCCAUCAUUUUCGGUUUUGCUAUAUAAAAAUGCACGAAUCUGGACCCAUAAUGAUCAGUGGUCCAAACUCUAAGGCUUAUUUGCAUUUGAUCCAUCUGAAAAUCUUUACUUUUUAUUUGACUGGGAUCACGUGAAGGCCCAAAUACUCUCAGUUUCUCAUGCGUUCUAUCAAUCUAUGCCAUCUGUCCUCUGCACUCUUACGAAAGGUCUGAUUAUUAUAGAAUUCUAAUCUCCAGCACAAAGGAUGGAAGACCCUGUCGAAUCUCAACCCCAAUUGUUGCCUUUAUUAUGAUUUUUCAAACUGAUUUGAAAAGUCGAAUCCAACAUGAACAAUUGACACUCGGACUCCCCACCCCAAAAAAAAAAAAAAAGAAGCUCUGGUGCAUCCGUAGUCCUCCUGUGUUUUGAAGGAUCACAAGUUCACAACCCUGUCAAUGUUUGGCAAUCUUUGUGGAAAACUAUUUUUUUUUAUAAAGUUUUUGCAAAAUGUUAUUGUUUAUACAUUUAAUAUUCGUCGCUACACUCACAUACAUCACGUUUCAAAAAAUAUAUAUAUAUUACAAUUUUAAUUUCAACAGAAAACUUCCAACAACUCUCAAAAAUUCAAAUCAUAUAUAUGUGUCAUACAUUCAAAACUAUUGGUGUGAAAAAAAAAAAUUAUUACACCGUCGGUGUAUAAAAAGUUAAUCAUUUUAUAAUCAGGAUACAAUUAAUAAUGUUAAUAGGAAAGCGAAGGAAAAUAUGACAUGAGAGAGGCGAAAAAAAAGGAAAAAGAUAAAGGAAAGGAAAAUAAAGUGGUGGAAAACAAAAAAAAAUGAAUAAAUAAGGAGAAAAACAAAAUAAUAUAGCAAUGGCACUUUCGUUUCAAUGAGUCAAGGAGGGAAGCAAAGUGCCUAUUCUAUUUAACUGAGUUGGUAAGAUAAAGUGUAGAUGAGGAUAAAUUUCACAAGGAUUUAGUACAUCUAUCCCUGCUAGUUUUUUUUUUUUUUUUUUCAAGACUUUUCGUUGAAUUAAUUAAAUCUAAUCCCAUAUUGAACUCCAAAAGCCGGCAACUCUUGGAGCCAACCAGAGACUUAACUACCCAACCAAACCCCACCCCACAUCUAUCCCUAGUAGUGAUAAACUCACUUAGUUCACGUUUGCGUAUUGUACAUGAUUGUCAUUUGGCUUGGUUUGUCCAAGAAACUAAAUGGGAUGUUUGAGGAAGAAAACGCUAUUUAGUGAUUGAAUGCCCUUUUUAAUGAUUUUAUUUAUUUAUUGAACAAGUACAACAUAUGAAGUUGAAUUAAUUUUAUAUAUACUGAUAAUAUAUAAACAUUAUUAUGAUUAGAUGUAUGAUACAUGAGUAAAAUUUAGAUUUUAAAUUUAAAUUUAAAUGAAAUGAUGAUAGUGUACAAAGGAUUGAUUUUAUAGAGUUAACUAAUUAAUCCACUAAUUAAAGUAAACCGAACAUUUGUACUAAUUAAAAGUUUGAGGCCAAAACUUUUUAAUUUUUGGAAAUUCGUCACUGUAUUUCGACUCCGGUCCCUCGUUGUUAAAAAAGAGGCGGGACAGACGACGGGCCAAUGGCAUCGUCACAAAGUGGAGAAAAUGGGGACCCACGAAUCUGAGGUUUUUCUUAAAUUUUUGACUGUUGGUUUGGUAAAUGGAGAGUGGAGUUGGGCUUUCGAUGUGGACGAGACAAUGCUCCUGUACGGUCCACGCUCACCAAAGAGUCCAUAGGCCUGCAGCAAUGAAACGCUGCCACGUAAAGAUAGUCCAUGUGGGGUAAGCCGGGUAAAUUUUGGGAGUUUAUUCUUUCUGGAGCUUGGACUGGGUCAUCUGGACCGGUCCGAAAGUAAAGUGGGUCAUUCCUUUUUUUGGCGGGUAGCCAUAUGAUUCACUGUAGCCGACAUCAGUGACAGGCUUGCACGUGAGGGGAAUUGCAUGGUUGGACUGACUCCAAAACGUGGGACCUCUUACAAGUCAAAUCGAAAGUCCCAUCUGAUUGACCAUAGAGAGUGCCAGAUUCUCGUACGACCUUGCCUUUUUCGACUUAAAUUACACCACUCCUUGCAUCGUAUACGUGCCUUCUGAGGUGUGACGGACACGCUCUUAUCGUUUUUUUUAUUUUUCCUUUUCUUUUUAAAAGAUUUUUUCCCCUUUAGUUAUGCAAUCCUUUUCUUUCUCUAUCUCUAUCUUUUUCCGGUACCAAAUGUUUGAUUUUUUUUUUUUUUUGGGGGACGAUUAGAUGGGGCUCUUUUACCUCCAACUUUUGCACCAAAAUAUCAAUAAAUAAAUCUUAUAUACACUGUACAGCUUAUUACCAUUGGAUCCAUAAUAUAUAUAUAAAUUAAAUUUUGUAUAAUUAUCAUUUAUCCAUAUAAGAAACAUGAAUCUAAUAACAAUUAUGUAUUUUAUAUACAUGUAAUUAAUAAGUAGUACAACUUUUCUUUCCAUUUUGUCACCGGUAUGACAAAUAAGACAGCUAUAAUUGAAGAUGAGAACUUUUACCUAACUGAGCUAACUCGGUUGGCCACCAGAGGAGGGAUUUAUUAGUCCCAACAGCUAUAUUUCAAGAUGAGAACCUUUACUCAAUUGAACUCUCUAAGCUGGCCACUACUCUAGAGGGGAGAUUAGUUUCUCCCUGGGCGCGCAAGUCAGGGGGUUGAACCCCUCCUGACCACAUUUUCUCUUCAGAAUUUUCUGAAGUAUAUAUAGCCGAAUGCAGCAUGGGAUCAAUAUUUGAUAAGUCCAUCCAUAUUCCUUCUCUUUUACCAAUAUAGAAUCAAUUGUAACAAUAUUUUACUCUAAAAAUAAUGAGAACCUUUUAUUCAUCAUGCUGCAUAAAACAAAAGGAUACGAUGAUGUGUGGUAUUAUAAUGUACUGCUAAUAUAUUAACAACGAUGAUAUUGAUUUGGAUACCCUAAAACUUUGAAGGGUUUGCGUCGGUCUGACGUGAUCUAAGAUGAACAAAUUGAAGAGUUGCUCCUCUUUUAAAUAUUUCCUUUAUUGGUUUUGAAGUCCCGAAGACCGGAAAAAGAAAAGAAAAGAAAAGAAAGAUGACCAUCCUUGCUUACUCAUCUCAAAAGUUGAAUGCAAAUUCACUUAAGCUACAACCAUCUGUACGUGUUACGUGUAUCAUAUGCCUGCAUUCAUUGUGGAGGUUUUAGUUUAUCUUCACGCAGACCGUUUGUCGGUACGGAUACCAUGUUUUACGGAUUUAAUCGCGAUUGGAGAUGCCAUCGACCCAAGAAACUGUUUUAUCUGAACUUCUGAUUAAAUGUCCCUCAAAAAAAAAAAAAUUCUGAUUAAAUGUUUUUUUUUUGGGGUGUUAUUCCCUUCGGAUAAUGCACGUUUUGCUUCCAUUUUACCCCUCUCUUCAACUCUCAGCGGAGACCAACCCCCCCAAAAAAAUAAGAGCUUUUCGUGAUGAAUGCUAGCAAGAAACAGAAGGCAGGAGCCCCAUUCACCUGCCAUAAUUUUGACUAAAAGCUCGAUCAGGUUUGAAAUGACAUUUUUCUGUUUUUUUCCAGCUUUCACGGCUGUUAUACAAACUUGAAAACGAGGAAACUUUGUUCGACCUUUUGUUGGCAACUUACCGCAUUCAGCAUUUUUCCUGCCAACAGCUCAUGAGGCGCAUUAAUCAAUCAUUUGCCAAAUGUUUUUCUACUAUUCCAAUCAUCAUGUAUGCAUCCGAGAGCAAAUUCCCUCCCCGGCCCCCUAUUUUUGAGUACGUUUAACAACUGAUUUGGAAAAAUACUAAAUGCAUAGCAGAGAUGACAUCAAUUGCUAUAUAUCGAGCGUAUAAUCGCCUAUCAUCAGUUGAGGUAGAUUGGUGGAAGUUAACAACUGGAAAAUAUUCCAAUGGGAGUAUACCUUUAUAUCAUACUUCAUUUGGCACACGCAAUCACGAGUGAAUUAGAAACUGAUCAUAUCAUCCGAGUUGCUCAUUUAAACUACGUACUUGAUUAAUCCAACUCUCAAAUUCUUCAUUUUCUCCUCCUCCUUUUAGGAUUUAGGGGCAUCAAUUCAUGCACCACUUUCGUUUUUGGGUUGAAUCCACACAAUACUUGGAUGUGUGAAUGUCAUAUGUUAAAACAGAUGCAGCGGAACGGAUGAACAAACAAGAACAAGCAAGAACAAAUUUGGGGGAAAUCAGAUUUUUAUUAGGGUUCGGAAUGUAUCAGAUAUAUUGUACAGAAUGGAUAUAAGGUAUAUAUAUACAACCAAAUAACCAAAGCGAGACCCCCGAACAACUCAGCGGAGGACGAAAAUCUGAUUCAAGGCAUUUCAACAUCAUAUGAUAAUAGUCUCUUUCUUUUUGUUUUUCCAUGUUUUUUCUUUUUUUCGUUCUGUAGAAUAUAGCUUAUCAAACAUUAACUCCCAGCUUCUCAAUAAUCUGAGAAUUAUAGCAUUAGCAAAUUGCCCUGCUUUUCCAAUUGAGGAAUCAAUCUGUUGAUGAUUUUUCCCUUGGAAUGGAAAGUGACCUUAUGAUGACAAUUGACAAUUUUGAGCAAGCCAUGACAGUGGCAACUGUCUUAUCAUCAACGAGUUCCGUGUUAAACAUCAAAUUUGUGCACUGAUCUUGACUUAUUAAUCCUAGUGUCGAUCUAAACGAUCGGCGCAAUUAUGCUCGUUUAACAUUAAUUUUUUCCAUCCACGCACUUCUCAUGCAAUCAUUUCAUUUUAAGACGGAAAACAUCAAGAUUAUCUCCUUAUAUAUAUAUAUAAUGCACCAUAAUAAUUUACAUGUAUAUACAUAGUAUUAUCACAUUGGAUCUUCUGUCUCAUACCCUGUCUCACAUCAUAUCCCACUCCUUCCAGUCCUACCAAGCGUCCCUUAGUAAACCAAACCCUGAAACAACCUAACUUAGACCACGUUAAGUUAAUUGAUUAACAAAAUCUGUAUAACCAAAAUCGAUUAAAAAAAAUUCUUCUCACAAAAUCAUGAUUUAUCAAAGGUAAAACAAAGCCUAAACCUUAACAAGCUUUGUCCUCUCGUCAUCAUCUCCACCUUCAUGUUUACUAAGGAUACUUGACAGGAUUAGAAAGAGUGAAAUAGGAUAUGAGACAGGGUGUGGCACGAUAGACAGAUCCGUUGCGUAGUAUUAUGUUCUCCGAUGAAUAAUAUGUAUGUAAUUCGGUUUUUACUGAAAUUCAAAGACACAAAUACCAUGACUAAUCUAAUGCAGUGGUCCAAUCCAAUCACGCGUGGUAGCUCUAUAACGUUGAAUCCAAACCUAACUCGGAAGACUUGUAGUCUUUCAGGUCAAAAUUCAUCUUCCCUAGCGAAGAGUUUUGAAAAAACGAUGUACUCUUGGCAUUUCUAUUUUGGAGCAGUUAAUUAGCGGGUGUAUUUGCGCCCUAAUAAGUUUGAGGUGGCCUAUGAUCAAAGACUACAUCUCAAAUAUUAGGGUGACUUUUCUUUAUUCGGGCAUCGGCCGACGGCCAGCCCGGCAUAGGUUACGGCCAACCAAGUCAUGCACCUUUCUCUUACACCAUGUUCAUUCCUUUUUUCCUAGGGCAAAAAAAGAAAAAGAAAAAGAAAACAGAAUUUGUUGAUUGAUGUUAUGCAGGAGAUAUGUACAUACUCACGCUGUAUAUAGAGCGUACUGUAAAUACGUGGAACGGCAUCAGAAUUUUGAUCACAUCUAAAUGUACGCAAUUGUGAGAACUAAGAAAGUUUAGCAAAUGUGUACGCGUAAAUCCGUGUGUAUUUGUACGUCUUUAUGUCAGUAAAAUCAGAAUUAGCGCAAAUGACAGAGCAGAGUGACGGGCCCAGCAUCAGAAACUGCAUGAAAUCAUAUAGUACGAGACAGCAUAUAUAUAUAUAUGGAAGCAUGAUUCUUGCAUCAGAUCGGAUCACGUCCAAAGAAGCCAAGCGAUAAGUAUGGAAAAAUUAACAUCCUAAGCAUUUAACAGAUCAUUGUUCAGGCGAAAGUGCUGCUAACUACAAGAACACGUAACGGAAGACUCGCAAACUCACACAGUUGUUGAGAAGUUCUACAUCAGGCAUCAGCUUCCGCUAAAUUGAACGAACCUGGCUUACUUUUACCAAUUUACCGCUUGCGUGUAACAGAAGAUACUGUUUGCACCAGCUUCCGUUCCGCAUGGUAACCAAGUAUGUAUAUGUAUAUAUUUGAGCUACUAUCAAAUACGGAGUACCAAUCACCAGAUAUAGGAUUAAAGCCAAACAGCUUUAGUACUUGCCCGCAUAUAUCGACGUAUCUACUACCCAAAACUAUGCUCAAUUGUGAAUUUGAUAUAGUGAUAUGCACAUAUCUAGGUGUAAUUCUGAACAGUGUGUGAGAGAGAUCAGCUUCCAGGAAUAUGGACCAAAGAUAUACUUGUAUAAUGGGGAAAACCAAAAUUGACUAUUUCCCGAAUGUCUCAAGUCAACCCCCCCCAAAAAAAAUUUUAACAUUAUUGAAAACUUAACCUAAAUCCAUUAAAUCCCAAAAUUCAGCCACUGUCAAGAAUAGGGUUGCGUCAAAUUUUCUUGGUGUGACAUUUUCUUGUAUGCUUCUUCUUGGGAUGCGCCACUGAUUGAUUGCAUAGGAUGCAUCUUUAACUAAAGUCAUCUUAAGGUGAAUCCGGAAUGAUUAGUGGUGCUAAUUAUAUAUCCCUCAUUGGUCAAGGUGUACAUGCGUUUCACACCCCACUAAUAUUAUAUAGCUUGAAAACAAGAUAUCCAAUGAGAAAUUUCAACGAGGAACAUGAACACAAUGAAUCAUGCAUCAUCUUUAUAGCUUUCAGCCAUGGAAUAGAAGGGUAAUUGUACUCCCUUUAGGCCACACGUACUGUGAAAAUACCCCAAGCGACGAACUAACGACACCUGAUCCUGUUCCAUCCUACAUGCUGUCGGGCAAAAGUUAAUGCUUAGUAAUAAUCAUGAAUCACUCCAACUGAAGGCGUUCAGAAACCUAUUUAUUUGCAUGAAGAAUGAUAAUCAGGCAAACACUAUUUGUUCAUCCAUACUUAAAGCCAUCGUUGGCUGCAGUAUAAACUUCGGUGAAGGCAAUGCUUUAUUUAGCCCGCAUAAAAUUGUGUAUAGUUUAGCAAAAGGGUGGAUGGAUCGUAUUCCACAUUUGCUCAACCAUUAUUAAUGUGCUUCUGAAAAAAACAAAUCCAUACCUUUCACCUCAGUUUGCGUUCAUGUAAGUUUAACUUAGUUCCGUUAAGUAAGCUCAAAAGAAAACUUCUGUUUAGUAAACGUUAAAUGUGUUGUGACCUUUUGGGAUUGAAGAAUGAUUUGGCAAAUGUUACUAUUUCCAACAUAAAGACCUGAACAUAAAAAAGAAGAAAGACGGCUAAUUUAUUUAUAACGUCAUCAGUAUUGAAAUCCAACUUGCAACUUGCAAGGGCAUAUGAAGACAUCUUGAAAUCACAUUUGUCUGCCAAUUUCAUCUAUUCUAGCAAUGAAAUGACAGCACUAUGAAUGAGCAAAUUAAUUAAUCAUAUUAAUCAGAAAGUCACAGGCGCGCGCUUAAGUAUUAGUUAGGGGAAUUCAUUAAUUUGCAUGAGCUCAAUGGACAUGGAAAAGAAGCCCAACAGUAGGAGGUAAAAGUUAUACUCGUAGAUCUAUUGUGUAAAAAUCAAUUCCUUUCAACAAGAGCAACAAUUAUCAGGAAGUAAAGCUGUAAAAGUAGGAGGACAGAAGAAAAAGGGAAAGUGAUCAGAUGGUGAGAUUUUACUUAGAAAUUUCUCAUACACAUCAGGGGCUAUCAUCUGGCCAACAAUCCCUAAGUUCACAAGACCACGCCAGCUUUAAUAGCAUCCAAAACUGAACCGUCAAUUGUCACAAAACCAACAGAAUUAGACACUGAAAUGAUGAUUAGAUGAAACAAACUUUUGGUUGGGAAACUACACGAUGGAAUGCAUCUAUAUAUGCUAGAGUUGCACAUGGAACAUGAGUCAUUACUGCAAGUAGUAGUACAUUAACUCCACCUUUUAGCAGUACGACUAUUACUAGGCUUAUACUAUAUAUAAUAGUGCUUCUAACGCUGCUACUGUUUGCAUCAAAAGCAGAAUAAAUAAAAGUUGCUCCCAGGUGGAAGCAAUAUAUUGCUCAUUCAUCUGGUCUGGUGCAUGCCCCCAGCUGAAUAAACAGUAGUAGUAGUCGGUAACAGUUUCGCAGUUGAUCGAAUCCCACUUUAGAAGAAGUAAAAUCUAACUAACCCUAGUGCAGUACUACUCGUAAAGCCACAACAUUCGACAAAAGAUCCACCAAAAAAUCAACCAAGAUUGGGAAGACCCAGCACGGCUCUAAGGCAUUAAUUAAUCUUCCAGAAAAACUUUAAGUAAAAACUUAGUUGAUAUGAAGUAGUUAAGCAUCAUGAUCACCUGAUGCUGCGGGUGCUGCUGAUCCUGCUCCCGCUCCUGCUGCUGCAGACAAGUGCUGUUGCGAGGGGCGCUUGCGCUUCUUCUUCUCAUAGCUUAUCCCUCUGGCUUUGGACUGCAGAUCACGAACUUCGCGCAAGUAGAGCCUCACAGCUCGAGCUCCGAAAGGGUUUGCUUCAGGCCUGCCUCCAUUUUCUUCGUAUGCAGCCCGGAGGCGGCCAAUGAGGGCAUCAAGGCUUCCCCAAGCUUGUCGAAGUGGGCAAGGGCAAGGCGCUGGAGGGUUGGGAUGCCCGUAGAAGGGACAGAUUGGGGUAUGGACUUUGGUUUUCCCAAACUGGUCCAGGUAGCGAAGGAAUUCAAGGACAUGAGCUCCGCUGCAGCGAGAAAGCGCGAGGGGAGGCCUGUGGUUUUUGAGAUAUUGCCCAAAAGUGUUCCAGUCCCUGCGCUUCUGAUUCUCGUAUCGGCUGGGAGUGGAAGCAGCAGAUGAGGAUGUUCCUGCAGAUGUGCUGUUGUUGCUGUUGCCCGUGGCGUUCUCAGACUGGGAUGUUUCUAUAUCUGCAAAUGGAUCCAUCAUCAUCAGAUAAAGAUUUACCACUACUGUUACUUAUUGGCUAGCUGCGGCUGGCUUCAAGAUGAAAAUCUGUGGCUUGUGACCGUUUUAUUCCACUUAUGUUUGUAUUUGACUGGAAUUAAACUAGGGUUUCAUUUGGUAGCUGCAGUGUAACAAAGUAGGAGAGAGGGUGGAGAAAACUCAUAUAUGGGCUGCAAAAUGCAAGAUUCAGGUGCGGGGAAGGAGAUGAUACAUGUUUUUUUAAUUAAAAUUUUCUAAAUGAUGAUAUAUAUAUAUAUAUAGAGCAGGCUGCUGCUGCAGCAGCAGUGGAUGAGUAUAUAAAAGGGAAUAUUAGUAAAUUGAAAGGAGAAAGGGAAAGCCAGAGAAAUAAAGAAAUCUUUCUUCUUUUUUUGGUGUGCUGUUUGGGGCCGGGGGGGUGGGUGUGGGGGGAGGGAGGGCCUUGUUUAGUGAAUGAUGUAUCAGAAGUUUUCCAUAUUUGUGUCUGAGGAUGGGGACUAAAGGGAGAGAGAAAAGAGGAGCAGCAAAAGUAGCAGAGUCUUGAAGCUGAGAUUAACGUAUGUCGCUGGCUUUUUCCUAUCACUGGAUCAUCUGUUGUUGUGUUGUAUUGUAUGAUGAUGAAUAGCAAUAAUAUUGAUGAGAUUGAUGGGAGAGGAGUCGGAUAUGGGUGAUGGGGAGGGGCUUUUUUUUGUGUGUUGGGAGGGGGGGGGGGCGAUUCGUAUGGAAUUGAGUGGAGAGUUUCUUUGUUUGAGCAGUACUAUAAAAUCUUGAAUGACUGUAAUGCUGUGGAUUUAGUAGCUUUCUUUUCUGAAAAUGUUAAGCCCGCAGAGCUUUUUCCCAAAAUGGGGGAAGCAACUGACGCUUCUACUAACUAUCUCCUAUUAAAUUGAAUAGUUGUGAUUGGCAGAGAGAGAGAGAGAGAAGGAGAUGAAAUUCUUGUGUCUUAGAUUAGGGCUCUUGUGGCAAUAUAAAGAGGUAGAGAGUAGAGACAGUGGGUUGAGAUGGAGACAGGAAAAAGUUUAAAGAAAGAACUGGGGGCAAUAGAGUAAAAAACCUUAGCACUCCCUAGAUAAGGGCCAGGGGUGCAACAUGACUUUGCCUCUUCAUCCACAGGGAAAGUGAGAAUUGAAUGUCAGUUCCAUGUGAAAUGUUGAAAAUGCCCUUUUGCCAUCUUCAUUUCUCUUCUAGUUAAAGUGUGUGAAUUUCGUCAUUAAAGAGGCUGGCUGUGGCUCAUUGGCUUCCCCUUUGUCGCAAUAGUACCAAGUGAAGCAAACUAACCAGUGUACACUUUUCUCCCUUUGCUCCUCUAUAAGAAAUGCACUCUGUAGCCCGGUAGACCAGAGAAUGCAGAAACAGCCAGCAUUUAGCUGCUAGCAUGAUCAGUCGUAUGCCAGAUUUCUGAACGGUGGUUAAUUCUAAAUUUGGUGGUACUUAGUUUCAACUCGAUUUUUGUUCCUGAAUCUUCAUCCCUUCUUAAGAGAACCCAAAAAUUCAUAAUUGAGCAACGAAUGCAACCCCCCCUAACCAGACCAAAUCAGCUGGUAAAACGCGAAAAGAAGAUGUUUGACUUUCAUUUCUGCCAAGUUUUCGACUCUUUGUAUGAAUAAAUGCUCAAUUUAACUGGUAUUUACCUGCCAAAAAAAUCUACUAGCAUUUAUCUUCUUUCUUUUUUUUUUGUGGUGUGUAUGGGGGGGGGGGGGGUUUUUUUUUUUUUUUUUUUUUUUGGGGGGGGUGUGGGGGGAGGGAGGGCCUUGUUUAGUGAAUGAUGUAUCAGAAGUUUUCCAUAUUUGUGUCUGAGGAUGGGGACUAAAGGGAGAGAGAAAAGAGGAGCAGCAAAAGAAGCAGAGUCUUGAAGCUGAGAUUAACGUAUGUCGCUGGCUUUUUCCUAUCACUGGAUCAUCUGUUGUUGUGUUGUAUUGUAUGAUGAUGAAUAGCAAUAAUAUUGAUGAGAUUGAUGGGAGAGGAGUCGGAUAUGGGUGCUGGGGAGGGGCUUUUUUUUGUGUGUUGGGGGGGGGGGGGGGGAGUGAUUCGUAUGGAAUUGAGUGGAGAGUUUCUUUGUUUGAGCAGUACUAUAAAAUCUUGGAUGACUGUAAUGCUGUGGAUUUAGUAGCUUUCUUUUCUGAAAAUGUUAAGCCCGCAGAGCUUUUUCCCAAAAUGGGGGAAGCAACUGACGCUUCUACUAACUAUCUCCUAUUAAAUUGAAUAGUUGUGAUUGGCAGAGAGAGAGAGAAGGAGAUGAAAUUCUUGUGUCUUAGAUUAGGGCUCUUGUGGCAAUAUAAAGAGGUAGAGAGUAGAGACAGUGGGUUGAGAUGGAGACAGGAAAAAGUUUAAAGAAAGAACUGGGGGCAAUAGAGUAAAAAACCUUAGCACUCUCCAGAUAAGGGCCAGGGGUGCAGCAUGACUUUCCCUCUUCAUCCACAGGGAAAGUGAGAAUUGAAUGUCAGUUCCAUGUGAAAUGUUGAAAAUGCCCUUUUGCCAUCUUCAUUUCUCUUCUAGUUAAAGUGUGUGAAUUUCGUCAUUAAAGAGGCUGGCUGAGGCUGCAAUAGUACCAAGUGAAGCAAACUAACCAGUGUACACUUUUCUCCCUUUGCUCCUCUAUAAGAAAUGCACUCUGUAGCCCGGUAGACCAGAGAAUGCAGAAACUGCCAGCAUUUAGCUGCUAGCAUGAUCAGUCGUAUGCCAGAUUUCUGAACGGUGGUUAAUUCUAAAUUUGGUGGUACUUACUUGAAAGGAGAAAGGGAAAGCCAAAGAAAUAAAGAAAUCUUUCUUCUUUUUUUGGUGUGCUGUUUGGGGCAGGGGGGGGUGUGGGGGGAGGGAGGGCCUUGUUUAGUGAAUGAUGUAUCAGAAGUUUUCCAUAUUUGUGUCUGAGGAUGGGGACUAAAGGGAGAGAGAAAAGAGGAGCAGCAAAAGAAGCAGAGUCUUGAAGCUGAGAUUAACGUAUGUCGCUGGCUUUUUCCUAUCACUGGAUCAUCUGUUGUUGUGUUGUAUUGUAUGAUGAUGAAUAGCAAUAAUAUUGAUGAGAUUGAUGGGAGAGGAGUCGGAUAUGGGUGCUGGGGAGGGGCUUUUUUUUGUGUGUUGGGGGGGGGGGGGGGGAGUGAUUCGUAUGGAAUUGAGUGGAGAGUUUCUUUGUUUGAGCAGUACUAUAAAAUCUUGGAUGACUGUAAUGCUGUGGAUUUAGUAGCUUUCUUUUCUGAAAAUGUUAAGCCCGCAGAGCUUUUUCCCAAAAUGGGGGAAGCAACUGACGCUUCUACUAACUAUCUCCUAUUAAAUUGAAUAGUUGUGAUUGGCAGAGAGAGAGAGAAGGAGAUGAAAUUCUUGUGUCUUAGAUUAGGGCUCUUGUGGCAAUAUAAAGAGGUAGAGAGUAGAGACAGUGGGUUGAGAUGGAGACAGGAAAAAGUUUAAAGAAAGAACUGGGGGCAAUAGAGUAAAAAACCUUAGCACUCUCCAGAUAAGGGCCAGGGGUGCAGCAUGACUUUCCCUCUUCAUCCACAGGGAAAGUGAGAAUUGAAUGUCAGUUCCAUGUGAAAUGUUGAAAAUGCCCUUUUGCCAUCUUCAUUUCUCUUCUAGUUAAAGUGUGUGAAUUUCGUCAUUAAAGAGGCUGGCUGAGGCUGCAAUAGUACCAAGUGAAGCAAACUAACCAGUGUACACUUUUCUCCCUUUGCUCCUCUAUAAGAAAUGCACUCUGUAGCCCGGUAGACCAGAGAAUGCAGAAACUGCCAGCAUUUAGCUGCUAGCAUGAUCAGUCGUAUGCCAGAUUUCUGAACGGUGGUUAAUUCUAAAUUUGGUGGUACUUACUUUCAACUCGAUUUUUGUUCCUGAAUCGAUCUUCAUCCCUUCUUAAGAGAACCCAAAAAUUCAUAAUUGAGCAACGAAUGCAACCCCCACUAACCAGACCAAAUCAGCUGGUAAAACGCGAAAAGAAGAUGUUUGACUCUCAUUUCUGCCAAGUUUUCGACUUUUUUGUAUGAAUAAAUGCUCAAUUUAACUGGUAUUUACCUGCCAAAAAAAUCUACUAGCAUUUAUCUUCUUUCUUUUUUUUUUUUUUUGUGUUAUUACUUGGAGGAUAUACAUUGUAAAUAAGAUUCAAAACUCUUGACGUCCAACAUUUCAGAGCAAGAAUCUCUUUUGCGUGCGUACGGCUAGUGGUGACUUCAUUUGAGAGCACUUACAGGUUAAACAUAGAGGCACAAGAUUUUAAGAGCAUUAAUACCAAAAGAAUUAGCAUAUGUUUUUUGACAAGGAGGUUGGGAUCUUUUUCUUUUAAAUGUUACAUAUUUCUUGAAAAAGCUAUCUAUAAACAAUUUUGGCUAUCUGUUCGGAGGGAGGAGAAAUACACAGAUUUAGAAAAGUUGAUUUUUUUUUUUUCUAGAACAUAAUUUGUUGGCGUAUUAAUUAGUUCAUUAGGGUUGAAUAAUUGAUGCACUGCAUUGAGAUACUGUGAAAUUUAGGGUCCCAAAUAAAGUGGAAUCCUGCUGCAACAUUAGUGACAUGUUCUGCUGUUGGUUUGUGCAACAAGAAAUUUCUCAAACUUUUCACCCAUUUAAACCCAAGGCAGAUUAGUGACAUGAGAAUCAGGAUACUGCCUAUACUAGAAGACUUGAGUUAAACAUGUUUGACCAAAAGCAUAUACUGAAAACAAAUCCAACCCAUCAAAGAUGAGCGUUACUUUAAUUUGGCUUCCAAUAGAUCUGUUCUGAGUAAACUGCUUAUUAUUCUGAGGAAAAAUAAAUAAAUGCACAUAGUUACAGAGACUGUGAGUAAAAAAGAGAGCUGACGGAAAUUUUUUUUUUUUUUGGGUAAGUAGCAAUAAGUAUUUAAUUGAAGUGAAACCUAUUUUUUGGAACGAUAUCUCAAUAUUCGGACUCUCAUCACUUACAAUGCAAGAGUGCUUUUCCCCCUUUCCCUUGUAGAGAUUGUUGUGAUAGCUAGUAAGAUGAUCGAAGUGAGAAAAUUAUAUACAUGUGUUGCAUAUAUACUUUACCUUAUUAGAACUAUUACAUAUGUACUUUACCUUAUCAGAAGUAUGGCUCCCCUAUGAGAUUGGAAGAGAAAAUAUAGAAUAAGGAGUAUAUGAAUUCUUUUCCAUGUUGUUUGGAGUUCUGGAAAUAAAUACAACAAUUUUAUGCUUACUAACAAAUGAACUAUACAAGCAUUUAGGUUCGUUUUGUCUGCAUUUCUCUCCACGUCUUUGCUAUGUUUCUUUUUCCCUUUCUCUCUUUUUCUUUUUCAUUUUUCCCGACGAAACUUUCCGUUGGGACCAAAAACUUCAAGUUUUCUUUAUGUUUUUUUAAAGUCCUCCCACUUCUUCUCACGGCCUUCCCCUCCUCAACUCGUAGACACAGAAUUCGAAUUCUGAAUCUGAUAGUGAAGAAGAUUCUAAAAAUCCUUCUCUAAUUAUUAGCCCGACACUAAUGAUUUCAUACUCUGCCCGCGCUUAUUCUCUUCUUAAGCACAUGUUACAGAGAUUUCAGAACCCAAAACACAACAAAAGAAAAAGGAAAAAACUGCAUCUAGAAUGUAAUUUCACAAUUAACAAGCUUCAAAAAAGAAUGAUCCUAGUAAUUGUCAAGUACUUUCAACUAAUUGAUUGGGAAGUUUCCGAAGUGGUUUCUACAUACCAAUGAUGCAGGCAGGAAAAGUAAGGUAUACAAUCGUUGAGUACAACUUGAAUCCUAACUUCCCAUUCAAGGAUCCAUUUUUGUUUGCAGAACACACCUUACAUUGAGGCAAAACCAUGAUAUAAUGAAUUUUAGGGAAUAUGAAGCUCCGAAUAGUAACAAAUACUGGGAUCAAGCACAUGGAUGUCAAACAGCAAGACGAAAGUGUACUUAAUUACUAUACCUUGGUAUAUGAACACGGCCUUUGAUUGAUGGCUUCUCGAGCAAAGAAAUUAUCUGGUUUUCGUAGCCUGAGGGACAGAGUCACGGAGAUAUAGUUCAUCUCCACACUAAUAACGUACAAGUUCCGAGUAUUAAAAAUAACCUAAAUGGUUGGGUUUACUGCACCUUUUGGUCGGUAAUAAACCAAAGUUUCCGAAAGUAGGUACUUUUCAGAAAUCAUGUGUGUAGCUAUUCCUGGAAAAACCCCAGUGGAAGACAGAAGUUCCAGGAAGCAAAUAUGGCUAAACACCUCAUGAUUAUUAUUAGUAUUUCUUUUUGGGUUACGAAAGACCUAAUGAUCGAUGCUCCAGCAAUUAGUGUCCUUCUCACUUGGUGUUUUCCAAGCUUAGAAUUGUUAAUCAUUGUUUAUGGUAUAGAAAGGGUUAAUUGUACUUUAACACCCUUAAACUAACAUCCUUGUUGCUGUUCACCCCUCUGAAGCGAAUGAAUAGACGUUCUGCCCUAUUGAAAGCUUCCACGGGAUAAAUAAAUACCAAAAAAAAAAAAAAAAGUUAUGCAAGUUCUUUUUGGACAACAUGCCUUAAAAAGAGGAUUUCCAGACAAAUAUCAUGCUAAGUACCAAACUGAUUUCAUUUAUAAUGACUUCACACAAUCUUAGACUUUCUUUUAAGAGAACAGCGAAGGGCUUUUGAUACUUGCGAGAGUGGAAGCCAAAUGGAUUUGGAAAUGAUGACUAGUAGCUUGGAUAGACAGCUUGCCCUUGCGAAGUUGGUUUAUCUAAGCACAGAAGUAGGUAGUACUAUAACACGAUUCAUUUAGGGAUGUCAGCUUAGGUGGUAUAACGAAAUUCUCUUGAGCAUGUUGUCGACCCAUUCUGAUUUCUAUAAGAGCCUAAUCUUUUGAAAAGCUAAAAUCAAAAUCAAAAGGCAGGUAUCUUGUAAAUUUUGAUUUUUUUUUUUUAGUAUUAAAGAAAAACAAAAGUUGAAAGAAAAACCAGCUAAGAAUAUAUAUAUAUAUAUAUAUAUCCAAUAAGAAAUUUUACAGGGUCAGAAACUAAGAACAAAUGCAAAAGAUCAGCUAAGAACAUGCCUUGUAUCCAUAACAAUCAAAAUCCCCUUCAACCGAGAAAUUAGGGAAAGCAUGAAAUAAAAGUGUGUAUUUUGGCCAUGUUCCAUUUUUUUUUUUUUUCUUCUUCUUCUCUAGGUCGACUACUACUUACAUUAUAUUGCGAUGAUAGCUUUUACGUUAGUUCUUUUGCUUGUGUAAUUGAUUACCAGUAUUUACAACCUAGACCUAGAGGGAUCCUCAAGUCGACUACUAGUUUUUAUGGAUCUUGCCCUUUUUCCUUGGUCUAAAACAAUGCAUAUUAAUAGCAGGCAAAGAACACUGCUUUUUGGGGCAGCUUGAGAAUCUGUUUAAAAAACGAAAUUUGGUCGGCUUUCUUUCUGUAUAUACAACAACAACAAAAAAAAAAAAAAAAAAGAAGAAGAAAUCAUAAGCCUUAACAACCCAAAAUUUGGUCUCCAAAAUUCAACAAAGUCUCUCGACUUCAUUGUAUUUCCGAUAAAAGUAUUCAAUCUCCUAUUGAGAGAUGUCUUUAAACAAAAAUAAAAAAAAAAAUGUAAUUGCCUAGCUAGCACAGACAAUAAAAAGACCUUCUAUGAAACACCCCAUGUGUAAUUUACGAGGCAUGUCAAGACCAAGACAUCCGAAUUUGACUGAUCAAAGAAAAGAAUGGUGGCAAACAUUCAUUUCUGAUCUCUUUUGCCGGCCGGUGUCAUGAACUGGAUGGAUAGUCUGGAUGGACCUGCUCAAAUGGUUUGGAGUUCCAAACACACUGUUAGUAUUUCAACGUGGAGUUGUGGGAGAGUUCAAGGUAACAUUGAUGUUCCGUGUCUCGUGUCGAUGCCUCGGUUUCAAGUUCAACAUAGUACAGUGGAAAAUCAAGAAAAACACAAGAAAGAAAGAAUAAUGUGUCUUCCCAUUCCUAUCCUUUCCCUUGUGGAACGUACCACGGGAUAUAUAUUUCCACUCACUCAGUGUUAAUGAAAUGGGACAGUACUGCCCCCAUUAUGACCUUCCAACACUUGCACCGACUUCUCCAAAUCAGUGUCCGGGCAAACUACCCCAACUUUCUUGUGUUCUUUGUUCGAAUCUGAAUGAAGUGAAGCUCUUCAAAUGUGCUGUGACGAGGUUGAUCUGUCCCAGCACAAAUAUCCUAGCUGAUUUUUUGCUCACGCAGCGGAUGUGCAUCUUGUCUGAGUGGCAAGUAUUUGAUCUUCUUGAUUUGCAGUGACAGUUCUACAUUAUGAGGGGAAAAAAUAAUCUCUUUAUUGCUUCAUAAAUAUGUUUUGUUUUUCAAUCAACUUUUUACUUUUAAUCACUUCUUUAUAUACAUGCAGCAUAUCACGAAAGAAAGCUUUAGCAUGACUCUAAAAAAAAAAAGAUCCAGAUGACCUUUGAUCCAAUGGAUUUUUUUUUGUUUAUUGGUUUGCUUGUGACCUGUGUUUCCCGAGACUCAGUUAAACCUGAUUAGCUGGCAAAGCUCUUUAGCAAAGCAAUGGUUGAUGCGCCACAAAGCAAUAAUCAGUUUCGUAAUGUCGAGAAUAAUUAAAAAAUUAACCUACUUUGUUGUGCUGCUGGGCUUGUGCAUGCAUGGGUUGGCAUCCAUGAUUUGAUUUCAUCCGUAUUCGCAUUCCCCGCAAAGGUUUUCUUCCAAACAAAACAUUCCCGAAAGAGCCUGCAAAUGAAAGCCCCUCCUCAAUCUUUCAUACCAAAGAUAAACAAGGGACCACCCACAUUUCCAAAACAAGUAGAUUGACCAAUGUGGAGUUCCCUUAGAACGAAGAGAUAAUUCCCUCCCCAUCAGAGAUUGAUGGAUCUCUUAUUGCUGCUGCCUCCAACCACACCUGACACCCAAAUUUUCUGGAAACGCCUUUUCUCAUCAGUAUUGAUUGAGCACUUUUUUUUUUUUUUUUUUUAAAAAAAAAAAAUAUCAUGGUCAGCGAUUCCCUGAAAUUGGCCUAGCAAUCCAACCGCGCAACUUUUUAAUUUGAAGUUGGAUAUAUGAGCUAAACUGUGAAAUGCAAGUUUCAAUCAUCAGUGAUAAUGGCGUUUGUUGUUUUUACUCUUUCUUUAAUUCCUGUCUUCAACAAGUGCCCGCCGCUUCCUUUGCUCAGGGAGGAAGAGGGCAAAAAAGAAGAAAAGAAGGGAAUAUAAAUAUAUAGAGCACCUACAAACUAGUAUCCAAUUAAUUAAUGUAUUUAAUAAGUCUUGCAUGGCAUGGCAGACAGGGCGCUAAAUGGUGGAUGGGCGGAAGCACUCCAGCGAAGACCCUGCAGUUAUGAGUCCGUAUCCGUACGAUUUAGGUUCCCUGCUUCCUAGGAAAUAGAUAGGAUUUUGAUGCAAGUGUCAAUAAUCUCCAAACUACAACGUAACCAAAACACACCUCUUAUGUCUUACUUUUUAUUAACACAAAUGCACUACUUUUUCUAAUUCUAAGCCGCUUUUGUUGAACAAAGGUGCACAUUGCUGCCAAUCUGAGACAUCUAUUUUUGAACUUCGCUCCCUACUCUUGGAUGCUUCAAAGUAGUAUCAUGUUUGAAAGAGCACUAAAGUUGAUGCCUUUUACAUUUAUUCUGCGGACCAAACAAACAAAAAAAAGCUUUUUUUUUUUGGUGUGGGGGGGGGGGGGGGGGUUGGGGUUGUGCCCUCACUCUUUAGCCUCCUCCACAGCCAAAAAAAAAUCAAUGAUACACUACGAAAUCCAGUUGUAAGCAAUCAAAGAAACGAAAAGGAUUUUAGCCGCUAAGAAGCGGUGCCGCCCUGAUCAGACACCCCAUCUACACCAAGAGCAGAGAACCUCAAAUUCAUUUUGCAUCAUGGAAGAUGAUAUUAACAGGAGUUGAAGAAUAUAUACACAUAUACAUGCAAUACUCCGAUAGAGUCCGAAGUAACUACCACAAGAGAAAGCAAUAGCGGGAACUGCCAGUAUUAAAAGCUACAAAACGGAUGAUCUACUCUCAUUUGCAGGCCAAGUGAACAUGACUACCUCACAAAUUGCACUAAGUAAACAGCUAAAAGAACUUCUAGAUAAACAACAGUGAAGAAAACUCGCUUCAGCAGUUACUUACAUUGAUAAAACUGCGGAGAGAACAAGCAUAAAUUAGUUCAAACUUUUCACCUCAUGACUUUCCUCUACCCAUAGCACCUUCCCGCUGACUGCGGAAGUGGCUCAGAAGCUGCUGUGCCUGCACCAUAUAAAUGAAGAGCAGUUAAGAAAUCACAUUCUCUGCCUCCACCUAGAGAGAUUCAAUAAAAUUAAUAAACAUUUCAGAAUUGCCUCAUUCAAAAGACAACUUUAUAACAUAAAAUGCUCCUCAAAAAAAAAUAAAAUCAAAAAAGAAAAAUAUGCCAAAACCAUAUUUUCAUGUAAUUUCUUAUCCGUCCAACAUGGUGUCAACUGCUUUAUACACAAUUCUGCCAUAAUGAUAUAAACAGUCUCUGCAAAUGGCAAAGCCAAAUUUUUUGUUGAAGUCACUCGAAAGCCAAAUAUAUUUUCAGAAAAGAGUCAGCAUUAAUGCCACAUUGCAUGCCUGUUGGACAACGUUAAUUAUAGAUAAUCAUUGGAAAUGAUAAUAUUCAUAAUUAUAAAGUCACAGGUUGGGAAGACAGAUGGAAACUUAACAUGUCACAAAGUUAAUAUUAAAAAUUGACCAUCAUCCCAUAUUAUUUCCAGUGAUUUGAAGAUUCAGGUCAAAUAUUUUCCACAAUUGUGGCUAAAAAGAAUCCAACAUUGUAUUCAUCUCUACGAGUAUUUCUUGAGACAACGUAGUGCAUCUAAUGAGUAGAAGACAAACGAUGAUACAGCAUGAAUUAAAAUGCCAACACAGGAGGAAAGGGGGAACACCACAAACCUUUUCUUUUGCUCUUGGAGUGCCAGACUGAGACAAUGCAACAAGAGGCGGGACAGCUCCUUCUUGCAAAACAAGCCGACAAUACUUUGGACUGUUUAUGCACAGUUGCAACAGGAUUGAAGCAGCAUUCUCCUUUCCCCGCUGAGAGCCUGUGUCCACAAUCUCGACCAAUGAGGGUAUUCCCCCUUCUCGAGCAAUGGCUGAGCAUCCCUCUGUUAUGGUAGACAAAUUUGCAAGAAGAGCAACAGCUUUAUCAACCAUUUCUCUAUCAGGGUCCAGCAACUCCACAAGAUAUUUAACAGCUCCAGCCUGGACUAUACGAGCUUUGUUUUCAUGAAGAAUAGACAGGUUAAACAAGGCAGUAGCAGCAUCUUUCUUCCCUCUGACAGUACCUGAUCCUAGAAGAUCAACUAACGCUCUAACUGCAGCUGAACGACCAAUCUUUGUCCUGUACUCCUCCAAAACUGAGAGACUGAAAAGGCAUGCAGCAGCAUUCUCCUUUGCUCCAGCAUUUCCAGUCCUCAAAACGUGUAUUAGUGGAUCAAGGGCUCCUUCUUCUGCAAUUAGGGCUUUAAUCUUCUCAUUAAUUGAUAAAUUUAGAAGUGCAGUGACAGCAUGCUCUUGGGUUGUCUUCACAUCCGAGCGUAGCAAUGAAAUCAAUGGUGCAAUAGCCCCACAAUUUCCAAUGAUAAUACGAUUUUCAGUGUUAUAUUUCGCCAAAAACCGCAAUUCUGCUGUAGCUGCAGUUUGCAAUUCAGUUGACUGACUCUUCAAAUCUUUAAUGAGCUUUUCAACAUGAGAAGUUGAGGUCAGAUCAUUGCAUCUAGCCUCAGAAGGAAGUGAUAGUGAUCUAGAUGGAUUAUGAUUUCCAUUCACAGCCAUUUCAGCCAUUGUCUUGGAACUGUGGUAGUGUCUUCCAGUCAAAGAAGGAGAAGAUUCAGGAUUCUUAUUCGAAGCAGAUAGGGAGCAAUCAGACACUGUAUCUCCUAAUCUAGCACUCACAUUAUCAUGAUUAUUUGAGAUCCUAGAUAAAUCAGGUAAUGCUGAAGGCAGGUAGUCGAUGCUAGAGACAGCACUUGAUGUUGAUUCACUCCUACUGUGGACGUACGAGUGUGUCGAGGAGUGGUCAGACUUUUCAGCUUGACACACAUGCAGCUCCUCAUAACAGAAUCCAUUAGAACCAUCAACCUUCUUUUCAGAAUCAUUUCGGGCGUCAACUGAAGAUUCUAAUAUUGAAUUCCCACCUUCAAAAUUACAUUGAACAUUAUCCACAUGAUUGACAUUCUCUGACUGAGGUGUAACCGAUCCACACUUAAGGCAGUCAGGAGGGUUAGGAAGCUUUAUUUUCUUCUCCUCACACCAAUUUGCUAUCAGAACCUUAACUGUAUAGUUGGGGAUAAGGUUAGUGUGGGACAGUUUUUGACGAGUUUUAGGGCAUAUGUUUAAUCCAUGAUCAAGCCAUUUUUUAAUGGAAGUCCUCUCAUAGGUUUGCCCAGAAGCCACAAUCACUGGAUCCAUCAUUAGUUCUACAGAUAAAGGACAAAGGAAGUAGGGAGGGAUCUUAAUUCCAUCUAAGGACUCGAAGUUGUCAAGUUUAACCAUUAUAUCUCGAAUAUGAGACAAUAGGACAAUGAUACGGUUGAUUUCUUCUAAGCUCUGAUUCAGUUUAUGGUCUUCAGCCUUCAUUCUCUCCUUCUCCAGGGCAAUACACUCAUUCAGCAGUUCCUGAUUUGGUGCCAAGUUAAGUGACUCAAUUAUUGGAAUAAGAUGCUCAGAAGAAGGGAUAUUUCCUUCUGUUAUCUUUUGAAGCACCUCGUUUACAUGGUUUGAUAGCUUCAAAUGCUGAAAUUUCUGCAUGAAAUGUUGAAAAGGAGUAUCUGAAACCAGUUAAGUCUAGGCAACCAGGAAGCCGAUAAAACAGGAUUAUGUGGCCAAGAGUGCUUCAAAGUAGAGAUCAAAAUACGCAUGUGAGACAAAAUCCUCCUAAAGAGUGUCUCUAGUCAAAGAAUUCAUCCAAUAAAGUAAGGAAAGGAUAGAUGACAAUUCACUCAAAGUUGCAGCUAUACCUGAGAAUCACAUAGGCUAUUGGUAUAUGCCGAUGAUUGCAAGAAUCCAGAUAGAACUUGUGUAAUCUUUAGCGAGGUGCUUUCUAUGUUAUGCACCAACAGGCCACUUCGCACAACCUGCAGAUAGCACAGACAAAGGAGAACAAAGGACAUUUCAAUUUCUAAUUAUUCUACACCUUUCCUUUUUCUUCAAUUCUUUUGGUGAUAAAAAGUGCAGCAAACAGCUUGCAUGUGUGAUUGCACGUAUCUGUCCUGCAUGGCACCAACACAUCAUCCCUCCUCUUUCUUUACUACUCUUCAGUACCAUGUCACUGCCCUAAAGUUCGCUCCGGAUUUGUUUCAAGGGCUUCUAGCUAUUAAAGGAUUUUAAAGGCCUAUAACUGGAAGUAUAUAGUAAAAUUACAAAUGUGUUAACUCCUACUGAAUGUGUAGUUUGCGAAGUAGGACCCUUUAUCAGCCUUCACUUAGGAUGAUAGCCAAAAAACUUGUACAGAAAAAUGUUAAAGAGAGUUGCAGAAAAGCAAAAUGUGCUCUUUAUAUGCUGCGCAAGGUUAUCGUAUCAGCCUUCGUUGUUCUCCUCCUAAUGAUGAUUGCCAAUUUAAAUAAUCAUUUUUAUCUAGUACGAGGCAAGUUUCACGUUGCAUUUCUCUUGUUUGAAGUCAUAUUCUGCCUUAUAUAAGGUUAAAUCUAGGAGUUAUAAGUAAUUAAUUGCCGAAAUGUUGAGCUGUGAAGCAUAUGAAACAUGAAAUAAGCAUCGUCAUUGCUUCAUGAGCAUGAGGCCCUUCAUUUUUUUAUGUACUUCUCAUGUUAUCCUUGUUUGGUUCAUUACUUCUUCCUUACAAUUUCCUAAUGUCAAUUCUAAAAUGCAUGAAUUGAUACGGGACAGAUUUCAUAAUGAAGAGGAGGUACUCACACAAAGAAUCUUGCUCAUCUUUGGAGACCAUUUCUCGAAAAAUUCCCUAGCCUCAUUGACUGCUACAUCCAAUUGUUCAUACUCUUUACAAAGAAAUUCAUCUGAAGGUACUUUUCCAUCAACAACAUUGUCAAGUAAUGGUUUCAAAUGCUUUAGUAGACAGCUCAGAUGCACAUAGUCAUUCUGAGCAGGCAUAGCCUUCACAGGAGAACAUGUUACUAAAUGAAUAAACCGAGAUACACUGUUAAUAAGGCAUCUUACAGCCACCAAGUCCAUUUACCUGUUCACAUAAGUCAUAAAAGAAUUUAGUAAUCAAUAACACAUAAUAAAAAUAUCAAACAAAAGUCAAAGAACUUUAUUCUGUGAAAACCCAUUCCAGGUUGACCACCAGUGGCUUUAAUAAUUGCCAACAAGUCAUAACCAAAAGCCAAUUAUGCCUUCUUUAAUUUAAAAAAAAAAAAAACCAAUUAUGCCUUCUUGUAUAAAGAACUUCGUACAACUAAAAUGAAUCGACAUUUGUAUACUGUUAAAAGGAGUGAUUUUGUAUCUCUCUCUCACUUGUCCUUGAUCGACUUGAUACCAUCACAGGAAUGAAAAAGAUGUAGGUAGGGAAAGGACCAAACCAUUCAUCACUAAUUCAAACAAAUGUGAUCCAUUAACAAAAGUAAAACAGUUAUCCAAUUACUGUCAUUCAUUCCAUUACACCAAAACUAACAAAAUUAUGCAAAUAUAUCUCACAUAUUGGCAGGUAAUAGGUAUUGCACCGGAGAAGGUGAAUUGAAGAAACAGGAUAGUAUUUGCUACACUAGGAUAAUUAUUGAGGCAGAGAACUCAGCAACCACGUGCAAGCUCAAGAGUACGUACCCAAGCUUCCAUGAAGGAUUAAAAAUGAAAAAUAUAAAUGAAAAGAGAGAGCUGCUACAGAUUGAGAAGAUAUUGUGAAUUCAAGAUAAUACAAAGUUACCCACUUUGCCUCGUGCACUACAGAGUUUAAAGCCAGAUUUCCCAAUCCAAGUUGCAAGCUAUCAACAUUCUUCCUCAGAGUGUAAAUUAUCAUUCCGGGAACAAGUUGUUUGAUAAUCCAAAAAGUUUCUUGAUUAGGAUUUACCAUAUGAUAGAGCACGAAACCACCCAUGGAAAAUUAUCUUUAUCAUAGAUAUUCCCCAAACGCAAUAUAAAUUAGCGUCAUUUUAGUCAUAUGAAAUGCUAUAUUCAGCUGAAGCCAAGGGGGGAAAAAUCUGAUAGCAUAAAAGACAAGAACAAUCAACUGGUUUCAUAUCUUACCCAUUGCGGUUUUAUACAGCAGAUAAUCGAUAUAAAAGAAAACUGGAGGUUAGAUAGGAAUGUACCUGCUGCUGAUUCACCUGAAUUUAGAUGGAGCGAGCCAUAAAAAUCAGAUCUUGAUGGAAUCUAGGAAUUAGCAUCAAAAUACUUAGGCUACAAUAACUAAUCCUCAAGAAUCAGAAGUUCCUUUCUCCUUGAAUAAUUCUCAUAAACCAUCCAGCAUGCUCCAUUCUAGAAACAGAGAGAGAAGUGUUGCAAGAAUUGGAAUGGGAAGGAGAGGAGACAAUAAAAGGAAAAAGAAAAGAGAGAGGUAAAGUUGGUGGGGCCCAUUAGAGUUGCAGAUUUGCUGGGUGGCUUUGGUGAAGUGCAAUUAACAAUUAUGCAGAUGAUUGACAAGCAAUUAAAAAAAUGACAAUGACAGAUGAAAUGAAAAUCUUUAAUGAGGAAUCUGAUAUCAUGAUUAGGGGAAGCUAAAAAAGUGAGGACCUUUUCUUAAUGAAACUGAUAAAGUUGGAACACUGCUGGGAAACCAGAAUGAUUGAUUGGCUUUCUAUAAAGUGCCUCUAACCCAAAAUGAAAAAGGCUAAAAGUAUUGAAGAUAUAUGAUUUAUAAGACCAAAAAAAAAAAAAAAAUUCCAUGGUUUAUUUUUGUUAUUAUUGAAUAUAGUUGGUUUAUUAGUAUGGAGUAUUUUUUUUUUUCCUUUGUCGUUCUUUGAUAACGUGAAAACUUUUGGAAGAAGAUUAAAUUUAACCCACCAGCAUACAAGUUGAUGAUUAAAUGCAAUCGGCCUUGACAACAAGAAGUAUUCAACCUUCAUCAUGAUAGUGAAACAGGAAAAUUCAAUCCGCCACUCUGUCUAUAUUCUUAACCGAGUAGUGCUACAACUUGAACUGGGAUAUGGCAGGCUGGUUUCUAAAAAAAGAAAAAAAAAAUCUGAGGUAAAAUCAGUAAGUGAGAAAUUUUUUGAUAAUAAUUUUGUGACAGCCAGGUAAUUGCCAUUCGUGCGUAUUAAAAAAAAGUCCAAGGAAAGAUCAUCCACCGAAACCAAAGCAUCCCUUUACCAAAUCGCAGGCAGCUACCACAGCUGCUAACUGGCUCCGUAUUCAAGAACCUACCCGCGACCUGAGCUGGAGGAGCAUUAGGUGGAGAAUUUCCUCGGCCCAGCAGUACAUACAUUAUACGUACAAAUGUAUUUUGAGGGUUCCACUGCAUUAAUGCAUCCUCGACUACUUGAACCAUUUUUCUGGUUUGUGGGAGGGAAUCCUCGACUACAAUGUCGGAGCCCGGCAACCAACCAUGAUGCGGCAGCUGGUCAUCUCUCUCUCUCUCUCUAAAUGAGUUUCAUGAUUUUAUCAGUAGUAUUGCUCACGUUGACUGCCAAUCUUUUUCGCUGCUGUUAUAUAUAGAGUUAAUAACAAGGUGGCUUAGAAAUAGGAGGAAAAUUGGAUGAAAAAAAGAACACAUAUAUUCUCUUUUGGUACAAGGUCAAAAGGCAAAUGGUCUUUUUCUUGAAUGGUACUUUGCGCGGAUAAUGAUUAAUAAACGGUGAUGCUCUCAUUAAUUAUUUUCAACGGCGACAGCACGAAUACCAACCAAUGUAUUGCGCUUUGGUGCAACAACAUCAAAUAGCCACUCGACCGGCGUCCUCCUUAGCUACCGAUCAAAUUUCGGUACUACUCCAGAUACUGCUACUUAAAUCAUAAAUGAAGAGACAGGCAAUUUUGCCAAACGCGUGAAACAGGAUUUAAAUCGAACAACCACCAGGCAACAUUAACCACUUUUUCUAUAGUUAGUAGUACCAUUUCCUUUACCGCUAGAACAGGGGGGGUCAAGAUAAUUAAAGAAGGUAGGUGUGCUCUUUAUUAAAAUUACCCAACAUAAAAAAAAUAAAAAUUUAAAAAAAGUAGGACGUACAACUACGUCGAGGUAGAGUCUACUAGUACUAAUCUAAAAUACCAUGCCCGCCACAUUCCGGUUAGGUUGGCGCCGAAAGGCCAACUUCUAACCGGUCGCAUGAUUUUGAUAAGCUGAUGGGACUCUUGGUUAAUAUAAAACAACGGAAGGAAGAAUUUAGAUAAACCCGAAAAGAUAUAUAUGCACAACCGAUCUCGGUCUCUCUGACUCCUGAAGGUAAGGUUCGCCUACCGCCAAUGAAAUUGUCGACCAUAAUCCACAGAAAACAUACGUCUGAAGUUCGACUUUGCCUUCUCUCUUUCUUUUCUAGUUUUGACAUCAGAAUGUCCGUCCCAACAAGGCUAUGUUUGGUGAAUGGUGAUUACCAGAAUUGCGGCCAUGAGGGUGCGGGCACCAGAGUGCAAGAAAAAGACUGCUUCAUAAAUAGAGGAAGAUAUGGGGACCGAACAAAUAAAAUGCACUUGCCGAGAAGGAUAAAGGCCAAAUAACUGGCUUAACACCCAAUUCUCUGGAAAAACAAAAUCAUGUUUUGUGUAUCAGAAUCCCCACCCAAACAAAAAAUAAUAAUGAUAAUUCUAGGAUCCAUAUCAAUCCAUGUAAAAGGGAAAUCUUCAUGCACGAAAAGCAAUCAAAUUCAGCCUCCGCUCAGCAACUCGAUAAGCUCAUGUUUCUUCAACUUCGAGAAUCCCCUCAAA
rnacentral:lncRNA from 1 species